AAUCUCUCACUCCCAGGUCUGUUUGGUAACUCUCACAGAUUUGGAGGUGGAUUUGAGUCCUUUGCGUUCUCACGAACACAAUGACUUUAAAUUUAAUGUCUGCGGCUCUCUCUUGACGGGGAAUGGCUUUUGAGUGCAUGAACUGUUUUAAAUAACUUAGAUUUCACUCUUGUAAGCUUUCAUUCCUGAUGUCUGGGAGAUGUGCUGUCUGGCCCAACCAUUACAUCUUUGCAUUAUCAGUUCAUUUUGGUCUUGCAUCGAAU
rnacentral:misc_RNA from 1 species